UACGAAGGGUGCAAGCGUUACUCGGAAUUACUGGGCGUAAAGCGUGCGUAGGUGGUUCGUUAAGUCUGAUGUGAAAGCCCUGGGCUCAACCUGGGAAUGGCAUUGGAAACUGGCGACCUAGAGUGCGGUAGAGGGUAGUGGAAUUCCCGGUGUAGUGGUGAAAUGCGUAGAUAUCGGGAGGAACACCAGUGGCGAAGGCGACUUCCUGGCCUGUUCUUGACGCUGAGGCGCGAAAGCUAGGGUAGCAAACGGG
rnacentral:rRNA from 1 species